rnacentral:misc_RNA from 1 species
UUUGUUUGUUACUUUCGCAUCGUUCGGUGCAUUCUGGGGGCUGUUUCUGGCUUUUGGUUGCUUGCUUGGCCUUUUGGUUGGGUGGGUGGCUACUAGUUGGGCGGCUUUCGGGAAUGUCGACCGGGGAGGUGCAUGAGUGGUGAUUGGUUUGUUACGUGUGGAUGGCUGUUUGCUUGCGCACCAACGUCCACGCUGCAUACCUCUUCAGUUUUGCGGCAAGACUCGAUUUGUCUUGAGCAAAUUGUGGGUUUCCUGUGUUGCAUACCUAAUUGAUGGUAACGUGUGGGUUUUACGAUUUUCCUUUUCGUCAUGCGUCGUUCAUGCGGCGUGGGAUGCACAAUGAAGCGGUCUUUGUGAUCCACCGUGUUGUUGCGUUUGCGACAAUGAGGUGGCCUAUGAAGCAUCGUUUGGUCUCUUGUAUACGGAACCUGAUGUGGGCUUGGAUCUUUAUAAGAUCCAUAUUUUGCCCUUCUUAAGCGUUCUCGCUUCUCCAAAACGAUUGCCUGCCGUGUUUCGGCUUGUCCU